rnacentral:rRNA from 1 species
UGGGGAAUAUUGCACAAUGGAGGGAACUCUGAUGCAGCGACGCCGCGUGAACGAAGAAGGCUUUCGAGUCGUAAAGUUCUUUUAUAUGGGAAGAUAAUGACGGUACCAUAAGAAAAAGCCCCGGCUAACUACGUGCCAGCAGCCGCGGUAAUACGUAGGGGGCUAGCGUUGUCCGGAAUCACUGGGCGUAAAGGGUUCGCAGGCGGAAAUGCAAGUCAGGUGUAAAAGGCAGUAGCUUAACUACUGUAAGCAUUUGAAACUGCAUAUCUUGAGAAGAGUAGGGGUAAGUGGAAUUUUUAGGGUAGCGGUGAAAUGCGUAGAUAUUAAAAAGAAUACCGGGGGCGAAGGCGACUUACUGGGCUCAUUCUGACGCUGAGGAACGAAAGCGUGGGUAGCAAACAGG